rnacentral:tRNA from 1 species
AAAAAUGAAAUCAUUAAUGAUAUUUCAUUUACAAUGAAAUUUAGUAUUUACUAUACCAUUUUUU